rnacentral:rRNA from 1 species
CCCUUAGAUGUCCUGGGCCGCACGCGCGCUACACUGAGUGUCUGAGAUACGAGUCUGCCUGGUCCGGCAAGGUCUAGGUAAUCGCUAAAAGACACAUCAUGCUUGGGAUAGAUUAUUGCAAAUAUUAAUCUUGAACGAGGAAUUCCUAGUAAGCGCAAGUCAACAGCUUGCGUUGAUUACGUCCCUGCCCUUUGUACACACCGCCCGUCGCUACUACUGAUUGGAUGUUUAAGCGAGGUUCUCGAACUGCUAGCGACUUAGCUUCGGUGAGGUCGCAGUGUGGGAAGUGAACCUAGCUUUGGUGUCGAGAGGAAGUAAAAGUCGUAACA